CCAGCCUGGGCUCUGGCCUCUCCUCUUUAGCCCCAGGUGGUUGAGACUUUCGUGCGGACCUGGGCCCAGACUUCCACACCCGUCCUUGUCCUUGGUUGAAGGGAAGGGUGACAGCCUGACCCAAGGGGGCUGACCUGAGGCUGGGGUGCCAGGCAGACAGAGGCCGAGGGCUCGGGGAUGAGGGGGUCCGCAGGGUCCUCCCUGGCCUGUGGUUGGUGAUUUUCUCCAGGAAGGCUGGUGAGUAGGCAGUUUGGUUUCUUACUGUCCUCCCUUUGCCAGCUUGCUGGCCCUUCUGGUCCCUACCACUGCCACCCCAUAGGAGGGCAGCUCCCCCAUCACCGCAAAGACUCUGACUUCCCAGAGCUUCCCUGACCAAGAGAGGGAUGCAGGCUGCCAAGAGCGGUGGGCCCUGGGAGGCUGCCAGGCAUGGGGAGAAGAUGCUGCCACCCCACAGCAGCACCCAGGGCACAUGUUGCCUGGAGGUGCCUGCACCGUGCGGGCCUGGGUGGGCUCCAGAUCCACAGCAAGACAGGCCCCCACCUGUCUCCCAGGAGACGCAACACAGGCCCUUGGCCACAUGCUUGCACAGGAUCAGCCUCCUGCGGGGGUCCCUCAACCCCUUGCUGCUUUUCCAUUUGCCUAAUUACCAAGCAGAAGUUGCAAUCUGGUUUGCUUUAUUUUUGUAUGUGAAAUAACCCCCAGGCCCCAACCUCCCGCAUCCAGUAUUUUGUGGGCAUUGGUUAUCUCUUAGGUGCACCACCCUCCCAACCACACAUCCUAGGAAACAGGUGCAGUCAAGUGUCUCUGGGUUGAGUAGGAAAGUAGGGACCAGGCCCUGUCUCAGACCUUGGUCCGUCCUUCCACAAAGCAGGUGUUAAGCGCAGCAAGCCCUUGGCUGAAGCACUGCUGUGUUAAGGACCAGGUUGCUCCAGGCUGCUGGCCCCAGGACUUGAGGCACUCACAGACCCCUUUAUUUUCAACCCUGGAAAGGGGUUAAGGUCACAAUGAACCUCUUCCUCGCUGUGAUUGGGAAGAGGUGACCAUCGCUGGAGUCCCCAUUCUCUGGGGGAGGUGGGUAGAGUGGGAGAGGUGGCUCCAUUUGAGAGGCAGCUAAGCCUAUAGCCCACACUGCCCUGGCCUUUGGGGAAGAGCCCUUUAAAAGGUGCAGCCACCCCAGGCCAGUACAAGGCAAUGGCAGGCUAUAGCGGGAGGGUCAGCCCAGAGGAGGUAGCGCAGUCUGUUCCAGGGGCCUGGGGUGCAUCCUGUCUGGGCACUCAAGAAUUUGCCUGCUUUUCUUCCCUCUUCUGUGGUUUGGUUUUUGGGGUGUUUUUUGUUUGUUGGGGUUUUUUUUUUUUUGUUUUUUUUUCUCUUUUUGCACUUCGCCCACGCUGGACAGUGGAGCCCUCCUGGUCAGUUCCGCUCCCGGGCUUCCAUGCACUAGCCCAAGGCAGCCUCUCUGGGGUUUGUAUGGUUUGAGGAAUCACUUUUUAAAAGAAAAAAAGUUUAAGGGAGUUUUGCUUUGUUUGCUGUGUUUGCAUCUCCACUCAAUUCAGAAAGUCCAGGAUGCGGGGCUAGAGCCCCAGGAGAGGGCGCUCUGGCCCCUUUCCUGCUAACACCGCGAUGCGGAAGUCUAGAGCUGGUUGGGUAGGGGUCCUAGACCCCACCUCCCAGCCUGCGCAUCCCCUCAAACCUUGAAGGAGUCAGCCCUCCGCCCACCAGUGAGUGAGCGCCUACUGUAUGCAGAGCAUCAGCUAGGCUGUGGGGGCUGAUGGUCCAGUGGGGGGACCCGCUCCUUAGGGGCCAGGUGGGAGGCACACGCGUCCGCCCGCCCUUGCUUGCUGUUGGGUGCAGGGGAGAUGGAGACGACUUUUGUUGGUUUUAAUUUAAAAACACAAAGGCCUGAAGAAAUAAUGUAUCUUAUAAUUUUUUUAAUUUUUGAGAAGCUCAUUUAAUGAAUUGUGCACGAAUGAAUUCUAUAUAUAUAAAAAUAUACGUAUAUAGCUCUAUAUUUGGGAAGGGGCACUGUCUCUUUUUCUCGCGCGCAUUUUUAAGAUGAAGUGUUGUUGCCUUUGUCUGUGGUUCAACCAUCCAGCUCCCAGCUGGCUAAACUUUGCCUCCAGUGGUAAAAGAUGGGAAUGUAGUGGGGUGGCAGAAGGGAAGUGGGGAUGGGUCCCCCAGUCCACCCUGCCCCUCCCAGGUGGAGACCGAGGGUUUAUUUUGGGUGUGGGUUCGGUUCUCUUGUUUCGUUUCAGUGAAUUCUUGGCCAGGGGAGGGCAGGUUUGUGCUGAUUACUCUGUCUUGUACGUUUUGUUCUGCUGCUCUUCAAUAUUGUAUGCCAGGAAAGGGGAGUGAAAAGCCUUUUACCCCCCAAAUAAAUUGUCACAUUCCAAAACUACA